UGGGGAAUAUUGCACAAUGGGCGCAAGCCUGAUGCAGCCAUGCCGCGUGUAUGAAGAAGGCCUUCGGGUUGUAAAGUACUUUCAGCGGGGAGGAAGGGAGUAAAGUUAAUACCUUUGCUCAUUGACGUUACCCGCAGAAGAAGCACCGGCUAACUCCGUGCCAGCAGCCGCGGUAAUACGGAGGGUGCAAGCGUUAAUCGGAAUUACUGGGCGUAAAGCGCACGCAGGCGGUUUGUUAAGUCAGAUGUGAAAUCCCCGGGCUCAACCUGGGAACUGCAUCUGAUACUGGCAAGCUUGAGUCUCGUAGAGGGGGGUAGAAUUCCAGGUGUAGCGGUGAAAUGCGUAGAGAUCUGGAGGAAUACCGGUGGUGAAGGCGGCCCCCUGGACGAAGACUGACGCUCAGGUGCGAAAGCGUGGGGAGCAAACAGG
rnacentral:rRNA from 1 species